GAGAGUAUAGCUCAAUGGUAGAGUGAGUGCUUAGCAUGCACAGGGUCCUGGGUUCAAUCCCCAGCACUGUCA
rnacentral:tRNA from 1 species